CUGCUGUGCCGUUUCAUCAGACACGCUGCUCUGGUGUGUAUCAUAUGAUACGGCAGCCGCUCAGGCAGGCGGGGAGCAGCGCAGCCUGUAAUUUCCUGGUCAUAUGUAACUGGGUGGGGAAGCGCCUGAUCCUUGGGAAAGAAGAGAACAAAAAACUUUCUUGGCUGCAGCUAUCAGCUAAUUUUUGGUUGCUUUUGAAUGCCAAGGCCAGCAGGAUCCAGGAAUUCAUCUACUGGUGCCAGCAAGAAAGCACUGACCCAAACAAGGGAGCCAGAACUUGGACUGCAGUCCUUGCCAGGGAUCAGCAAGAGGCCAGAGAGACCAUGCUGCUGAGUCAUCACCGCUCCAGCUGCUACAAGCCUUUUCUGGGGACGCGGCUGUUGCUAAGAUUCCUGGGAGCUGACUGAUUGCUCCUUCUAUAGUCAUGUAACACACACGUACACGUCAAAGGAACAAGGAGCAGCAGCUGGGGCGAGCUCAGAGCGAGCACACAGCCUGCUGGCCGUGCGCAGCCGGGCUGGUGCCUGUGCAGGACUUGGGCCCCGUGGGAGCUGCAUUGCUGCUCGGGGCUUCUUUUGCAGGCACAGACCUACCUUGUUCCCUGGAAGCUCCCACUCAUGGAGGCGUUUCAAAAAUCAAACAGUCCAGGCAGUGAUUCUGUACAAAAUUUUCUUUCUGUUUGUACUUGCACGCUCCACCACAUACUUCCCCCCCCCCCCCCCCCGCCCCCACAUUUAGAGGUAGGGACAUGCUUAAAAUCUAUGAAGUGCAUUCCUUGGAGGGUCACUGUUGGGUCAUUCUCUUAAUGCAAUAAAUAAAUAUAUUCAAUCAGCAGG